UGGUAAUCGGCAAAAACCUUAUUUCUUCUUACGGGCUUGUUUCAGAUACAAGAGUACGGUAUUUUGAACCCACACUGUCACAUAUUAUGUCAAAAUGGGAUGUCUUUGUACUGAAUGAUUUUUCUUGGUCGUCCUGUCUUGUGAAUUCACUCCUGAAAUCAAGUACAUGUAGGAAAGACUGCUAGUGUUGGAGUGCUCGUCCAUCUCCACACAGUUUCACUAAGGUUCA
rnacentral:misc_RNA from 1 species